rnacentral:rRNA from 1 species
UACGGAGGGGGCGAGCGUUGUCCGGAAUCACUGGGCGUAAAGCGCACGUAGGCGGAUCGCUAAGUCAGGGGUGAAAUCCUGGAGCUCAACUCCAGAACUGCCUUUGAUACUGGCAAUCUCGAGUCCGGGAGAGGUGAGUGGAACUGCGAGUGUAGAGGUGAAAUUCGUAGAUAUUCGCAAGAACACCAGUGGCGAAGGCGGCUCACUGGCCCGGUACUGACGCUGAGGUGCGAAAGCGUGGGGAGCAAACAGG